AUUGAACGCUGGCGGCAGGCCUAACACAUGCAAGUCGAGCGGAUGAAGGGAGCUUGCUCCUGGAUUCAGCGGCGGACGGGUGAGUAAUGCCUAGGAAUCUGCCUGGUAAUGGGGGAUAACGUCCGGAAACGGGCGCUAAUACCUCAUACGUCCUGAGGGAGAAAGUGGGGGAUCUUCGGACCUCACGCUAUCAGAUGAGCCUAGGUCGGAUUAGCUAGUUGGUGGGGUAAAGGCCUACCAAGGCGACGAUCCGUAACUGGUCUGAGAGGAUGAUCAGUCACACUGGAACUGAGACACGGUCCAGACUCCUACGGGAGGCAGCAGUGGGGAAUAUUGGACAAUGGGCGAAAGCCUGAUCCAGCCAUGCCGCGUGUGUGAAGAAGGUCUUCGGAUUGUAAAGCACUUUAAGUUGGGAGGAAGGGCAGUAAGUUAAUACCUUGCUGUUUUGACGUUACCAACAGAAUAAGCACCGGCUAACUUCGUG
rnacentral:rRNA from 1 species